UACUCCAAUUUUCAUACGAUCACUGACGUAAAGCAACGUCGAGCCUGAUCAGUACCUAGAUGGGUGACCGCUUGGGAAUACCAAGUGCUGUAAG